ACACUAAUUCAGCUAAUGUGAUAGCUCAUGAAAUUUCAAAUGUAUAAUAAUUACUUGACAUAUUGAAGCAGAAAUAAUAUUUUAAGCAUAUUUUAUAUAUGAAAAUGACUUAAAUAUUAAGUGAUAAUUUUUAUUUCACAGGGAACACCUUCAUAUUUUCUUUUAAAUAAGUUUUGCCAGACAUGUUGACUUUAUUAAAAUACAGGCUAUAUGUAAUUAAAAUCAUAACUAGAUUUACCUUAUGAUGGUUGACAUCAUAAGUUUAGCAGUCUUGAGAAGACCAUUUAAUUGCAUUUAACCACACUCUCUUCAUUUAGAAAUGUGAAAAUAUCAUUAGGAAAAUAAUACUCUAUUAUUGUAGUUUGGAUUAAGAAAAAUCAACUGGGGAAACUACAUUGGAAACUGUUAUUCUGUAAACUGUGAAAAAUUAUUAUGACAUAUGUAUGUCACAUUCUAGCUCCCAGUUUCCUAAAAGACUGUCAGACUUUGUAUUUUGUAUUUUGUUCUUUUAUUUGUUUUUAUUGCCAUGUUGUAUAAGCAAUUGCAUGGGUGGCAGAAGUCAGUAGCAUAUAUCAACAGUUUCUUUCCAGUGACAUUUCUAAUGAAUUCUUUUCCCCAAGACCUAUUUAAGA
rnacentral:lncRNA from 1 species